UGUUUAUUUCCUGCCACUACUAGUUGCUC
rnacentral:piRNA from 1 species